rnacentral:rRNA from 1 species
GCUGGCGGCACGCUUAACACAUGCAAGUCGAACGAGAUCUUCGGAUCUAGUGGCAGACGGGUGAGUAACGCGUGGGAACCUGCCCAGUAGUAGAGAAUAACUUGGGGAAACUUAAGCUAAUACUUUAUACGUCCUUCGGGAGAAAGCUUUAUGCGCUAUUGGAUGGGCCCGCGUUAGAUUAGUUUGUUGGUGAGGUAACGGCUCACCAAGGCGACGAUCUAUAGCUGGUCUGAGAGGAUGAUCAGCCACACUGGGACUGAGACACGGCCCAGACUCCUACGGGAGGCAGCAGUGGGGAAUAUUGGACAAUGGGGGCAACCCUGAUCCAGCGAUGCCGCGUGAGUGAUGAAGGCCCUAGGGUUGUAAAACUCUUUCGUCAGGGAAGAUAAUGACGGUACCUGAAGAAGAAGAUCCGGCUAACUCCGUGCCAGCAGCCGCGGUAAUACGGAGGGGUCUAGCGUUAUUCGGAAUUACUGGGCGUAAAGCGAGCGUAGGCGGAUUUGUAAGUUGGAGGUGAAAUCCCAGAGCUUAACUCUGGAACUGCCUUCAAAACUACAUUUCUUGAGUUUGGUAGAGGAGAGUGGAAUUCCUAGUGUAGAGGUGAAAUUCGUAGAUAUUAGGAGGAACACCAGUGGCGAAGGCGACUCUCUGGGCCAAUACUGACGCUGAGGUUCGAAAGCAUGGGUAGCGAACAGGAUUAGAUACCCUGGUAGUCCAUGCAGUAAACGAUGAGUGCUAGAUGUUGGGAAUUUAAAUUUCCAGUAUCGCAGUUAACGCGUUAAGCACUCCGCCU